rnacentral:lncRNA from 1 species
UCUAUAUUGACUUUAUAAAAGAUUAUUUCAUCUUAUAUAAUUUCUUUCCAAGUUGGUAUUUACUACUAUAUUGUCUCAUAUCUGUCACAUUCUUCAUUUGUUGUUUGCAAAAGCAUAGAUUUCUAGUCACUGACAGUGGCGUUAAAACUAAUGAUAAUAGCAAACAAUUACAUCUGGUUCUUACCUACCAUUUACUAGGCAUUGUUCUAAGCACUUUAAAGAGACUAACUUGUUAUAACAGUGGAUUCUCCAUUAUUGUCUUCAAUAUAUGAAGAAAUAGUACCACUCUUAGACCAAGGCAAGUAAGAUUUUCUGUACUGACCCCUAUGCCUUAGCAUGCUCUGCCCUGGGGUUUUCUUCAGCUGUCUCUCCCAAUGGACCAAAAGUCUAUGGGGCCAAGGUGCCUACUCAACUGGAUGGUCAAAAGAAAGCCAAAUAGUAGCUGCUUGUGAGAGUCAUAGAAGGAAUUCAGAUUCACUGGUCACUGGUAUAAAUGCUCAUUGUAGAGAAAAAUUGUGGUGGAGGAAAGGAGUGUGAGAUACUAACCAGUUUUCCUGGUGCCACCAUGUUCUGAUAUGAUACCCUAAGAAUUCUAUAUAUGAACUUUGUAUUUCUGGCAUGAUGGAAGAUAAAAGCGUGCUUGCUUGAUUUGUGGCAUUUAAAUGGAUAUAUGAUAUGUAGGCCUCUAUUCAUAUUCUGUCCCUAGGCUGCACAAAUGCUAGAAGUAGGCCUGUAAAUGGGGAAAAUGAGGUAUACUGAAUUUAAAUGAAACGUUCAGUUUCAUGCAGCAAAAAAGUGCUAGAGCUGUGAUAUGAACACCUCAUGCUAUGCUAUUGUUGUGGUUGAGUUAAAGGAAUAUGCAGAUAUGAUACUGGCAAGACCUUUCAGCCUCAUGCCUCAUCAUCCUCAAGGAAUAGGCCUGAAAGAUGAUCCAAGAUUUCUCUGCUACUGAGUGAGGCACAGCAUGAUGGCAUGUGCAGCCAUUGUCAUACUGCUUUCAAGGAGACCCAUAAUUUCCUGGAGUUUGACAGACAGGCCAGUGAGAAGCAAGGGGCAGGCAGAAUUAGAGACUAGCUCAAGCAGAGGAGAAACAUUUUCAGCCACCAGAAAAAUCAGGAUAUUGCAUAUUGGGAAAAAUUUGGUUGAAGGAAAAAUUAAGGGUUCCAUUACAAAAAACACAAGAAAAAGAAGUUAAAACACACUGGUAUUGUAUGAUUUACUUCAGUUUUGAAGUCCGAAAUGUAUUCAAAUCUUAGCUUCUCUAUUUGCUGAGUAACUUUGGCAAGUUAUUUAUGCUAACCAGGCCUUUGUUCUCUCAUUUGUAAAAGUGGGAAAGACAGAAAACCCAUGAAAAAUUACUAGCACAGUACCUGACCCAUAAAGACAGUAUAUAAACGGAGAUAUGAACAAUAACAGAAAUGCUAUCACUAAUGGGAAAAAUAGAAAUAAUAAUAAUAGAAUGAUAAUAGCUAAUGUUCAUAUAGAGUAUACUGAAUACCAGACACUCUGCUCAAUACUUUAUGUGUUUCAAUGCUUUAGUCCUCAUUACAAACCAAUGAGAGAGUUCUAUCAUUGCCAGUGCCCUUUCAAAAAUGAAGAAACUGAGGCAACAGCAGACUAAGUAACACCAAGAUGAUGCAUGACAGAAACAAGAUUUUAAACCAGGAGUCAGAAAACUUUCACUGUGAAGGACCAUACAUUAAGCAUAUUGGGGCUUGUGAGCCAUCAUCUGUUGGAGCUACUCCACUUUGACCUUGAAUGAUGCAUAAAUGAAGGGAAUUCCCACUAUGGUGCAGUGGAUUAAGGAUCCAGCAUUGCUCCUAUUAUGGCAUAGGUGGUAACUGCAGCUUGGAUUCCAUCCCUGGCUCAGAAGCUUCCGUGACACAAGUGUGGCCAUUAAAAAAAAUAAAAGAAAUUGUGGAUGAUAUAUUCAUGAACAUGACUAUGUUCAAUAGAACUUUAUGAAAACUAAAAUUAGAAUUGUAUGUAUUCUCAUAUGUCACGAAAUACUAUUUUUCUUUUGGCAUAUUUCCCAAUCAUCAGAUUGUAGGCCAUACAAAAAUAGACAGUGGUCUGAAUUUGACCCACAGGCCAUAAUUUGCUAUUCUCUAUCUAAAAAAACAGGCCCAAAGCAGGGAUGACUCCUGUCCUUGUCCAGGGGAGUUCAGCAUAUUGUCUAUUUAGCUUCAGGAUCUACUAUGAUAAAGAAGUGGCAGGGGAAGGGAAAAUCAAAAUCUCGAUAUUCCAAGAAUGUUUUUCAAGAUAAAGUCUCAUUUUAGUGAUGGAGAUGCUAUUUGGUUGGAGAGGUUUUUUUUUAUUUCUUUUAAUGGACACACUGGUUAUGCAAAAUUAAGACAUAGAUUGGAUGGGAGAAGAACUAACCCUUUUGCAUAAAAGUGCUCAUCUUGGGUGGAUGUUAUGCUCAGCCAAGGUAAACAGUACAACUUAGCCUAACCUUGUGGGGCCAAGGAGGAGGAAAGAAGGAACCAUAGAUAAUUUUUAGGUCUGAAACAGCAGUUGAUCAGCAAUAAAAAAUAAUGAGAAGUAAAAUAUCUGUCCAUCCCUUGCAUGUUUUUAUUGAUGCAAACCAAAUGAAGAUGUUCUGCUCACCAUCAAAAGAGACAUUCAUGAAGUUCUUGCAACAGGCAUUAAGUGUUAUGAUAGUUUUACAUACUGUAGAGAGCUUUUAUCCAUAAGAACAGUUAUAAGAUUUUUUUCCAAAUAUUAAAUGAGCACCUCCCUUUCUCUUGUAUAGAUGGGAAUCCCUUGUUAGUGGGUCCUAUGCUUGCAUAAAAUUAAGACCUAGACUAGGUGGGGAAGCCUGAUUAGUUCUAAGGACAGAACUAAGCCUGUUAUGAGUGGCCAGAGCUGCUAGUACCAGCCUGUCACUUUUCCCCACCCACCUGCUACUUCUCCCACCACCAGCUGCUGACUGAUCAUUUUAACCAUUGUUCCAUGUAUGAAAGUGGUCUCUCUUUUCUUUUUAAGGUGAAAGAAAAUAAGAAUGACAUCAACAAGAAAAAAAAGGAAAUAGAGAAGGAAACAGAGAAGUCAAAAAAUAAAACAAAAUAAAAACAAACAAAAUUUUAAGUCAUCCAUAUCCAUAGAGAAGUUUCCUUCACACCUGGUGUGCAAGGCUUAUACUUAGGGAUAAACUUCUGGUCAGGAUCUGGAUACAUUUAAGCAUGCACCUAAAGUACAGCUGGAGUCAUUUUUAACAACUUUCCUUUCUGAAUUUUUUUGAGAAAGUUCCGUUCUUCAAUUCAGAAAAAGCACAUUAUAUUUCACAUGUUACCCUAGAAGUCUUUUAUAUGGAAAAGUUUGUGAUUCACUGGAAAACUGUGCAUUAUCUAGAUCAUACCCUUUCAGCCUGUGUGAAUGAUUCUGUUUCUAGUGUAGCCAUAUUACAACUCUGUAAAUUGUGGUGAGUGAUAGCAGUGAAAAAUCAUUCUUGCCUAAAGACAAGCAUAUCCUAUCAACUGACUUCUGCCACCACCACCACCCUGGCCCAACAGAAGAGGUCAUUUUACCCCCAUUGGAAUAUUGCUUUCACUGUGUCUGAUCUAUACAUGUGCUAAGUGGAUGCUCUUUUGAAGUAGUUGCAACAUCUGACCAGUUCCCUCAUUAAGGAGUUGAAUAAAAUCUUUAACUCAUGUUCAUUUUGUAUCCAUGUAAGAAUCAUGAGUUUAUCUUUUUUUUGAAAAUUAUCCCUAGCGCUUUCUUCCAGUUUUCAGAUUAGGAGUUCACUCCUGGCAAGCAACUCUGUCACCAAUGUCACCUGCCAAGAUAAAUAGACAAUGUGUUUGCUUUUCUUAUUUCUACAGCUUAAUCUCAUUUGUAUACUUAUAUUAAACUUCAUGUUAACCUGCAUUGGAACUCUGGGGAGUGGACAAUGAUGGUGUCUUUCCAGAUUGGGAAAAUAUUUUUAAAUAGUCCCAAGGUACAAUGUUCUGCAUAACAGCAUAAAGGCAGCAAUUAUAGCACUCCUACGACACCUUUCCUUCUCUAUUACCUCCAGCUAAUAAGCUUUGCAGAAUCAAGGUUUGUUCUCCCCUGAGAGCAUGAAAUAAAAUGUUCCUAUAUUUCAUUCAGCCCAUCCCUCUUAAAAAUCAGCAAUAAAUAUCACACCUGUUUGGGGCUUUUGCAGGCAAAAAAAUUGACCAAAGAGACGAAGUUUUAGAAAGUGAAAACUGUACACUUCUAUGAGAACAGUAAUGCAAAAAAUGUUCUUUCUGCUUGACUGACUAGAAUGAAGCCUGAUGUAGAAAGAGCACAACUCUAUUACCUGAUGAUGGUUGCUCAGUAUAAUGCACUCUCUCCUGAAAUAGGUUUAAGAAGCUAAUAGAAUUUGUUGAUUAUAAUUAGGGCUGAUGGGAUCGGCAGAUGAGGUUUGGCACAAUAAGCCAUCUCUUUGAAUAAGGCAGGCUCUGCUGGCUGCUUCUUUGGACCUGAAUUGUGUCCACUUGAACUUAGGGCUGGUUAUCCCAAUCCAGAGGAUGGCAGCUCUUUUAAAUGCCACUUACUAUGUGCAGUUUCCUGGAUUAGUAUAUAUAUUACAACAUCCCAUUUUAUUAGGGUGUGGGGCUCCCAUUCCUGAUUAUUCUUCAUCAUUUAGUAAGCAUUAUCUGACCAGCAGUCUGCUUUAAAGUGCUGGCAGGGACAGAGAAGUAUACGCAUGACAGAACCUGACCUCAUCCAGCUGGAUAGAAAACUAACCAACCUAAGCAAUGAGAAAACAGUUGACUGUUCAUCUGGGAUACUAAUUUUAAGUAUCAUAGCCAUGCAAAGAAGAAUGGUAAUUAUAAAUUGCCUCAGAGAAAGAGUGAAACUAAACAUUGCAUGCUAUAAAAGUUAGAUAUUCUAGGUAGAUGAUACAGGGUGAGCAGAAUCACAAAGUUGAGAAUGGCAUGGCAUGUAUGGAAUUUAGGGUGGAGUGGACCUGACAGAUGUGAAGAAUGUAGUUUAUGGAGUGUUAGGAAGCAAGUCUGGUUUGGAGAGGGAGAAAAAUGGGGAUCUCGGAUGACCUGGAAAGAUGAGCAGAAGAGCCUGAAUUUCAUGUCAAAACCAACCAGGGCUAUUUUGGAAUUGGAAGUGGAGAAUAACAUAAUGAAAAUGGUGACUCAUAUGAGUUGAAAGGGAAAGUUCAUAAUGGUAGUAAACAAGGACAGUGAUUAGGGGCUCAAUUGGGGAUAGCACCGUUGGAAUAAAAAGAACAGAAAAUCUAGUACAUAUUUCAAAGGAAAUAGCAAUAAGACUUUAAUUAAUAGAAUAAGCAUUUCUUGAGUAUAUACAAGGCACUAUGAAGAGCACUACAGGAAAUCCUAAGAGGGACAAGGCUGUGCUUUAUGAGUUAUAAAUCUGGAAUGGAGGUUGCAGAUAUGUAACAGUGAAUAUAGUCCUGAGCAAUACAGGUCCAUACAUGCUUCUCAAAAGGUAUUAAAAAUAUUCAGAGAGGAUAGGCAUUUAUUUUAUCAUUUAUUUACCGAGACAAUUAGGUAAGGUUUCAUGAACACUCAUUAAACUAUGAAAAAUUAAGAUUAGGAAAAGCUAGGACCAUCAUGGGCAUGGCAUUCUUGAGAAAUAGAGGCAGAGUUAGAAUUUAGGGUGUAAGACUGGUUCAGAGAGAAUGGGAGGAAAGUAGAUAGACAAGAAAUGUGGGAGGUACAAAAUUUUGUAAGGUCUAAAUCUCAAGAAGAAAAUUUAGACUUUAUCGAGAAGCCUGUGAAGGAGUCAUAAAAGCUUUUCGAGCAGAGACAUUAAUUGAUUGAAUCCACGCAUGAUAACAAUAACCCUGACCAACUAUUAAGGAUGGAUUAUAGGAAGCAGCUGGAGGAGAGACUGGUGAUGAGGAGGUUGGCUUGAAGUAACAUUGGCUGGGAGCUAUAAAAAUAGUCACAAUAAAAUAAACACUUUAAAGAAUAACUGCAGAAUUAGAAUCUUAAAAGUCUGACUACUAAUUGGAUAUAAAAUUGAUUGGCAUCCAUUUAACUAGGGUUUUUUAUUUGGAUAAGGGAGUAAAUGGUAACGUCCUGGAUUAAAAUAAGGAAUAUUUCAAAGCAGGCUUGGGUCAUAUGAAAAUAAAUUCUAGUGUGGACAUACUGAGUUUGAAGGACUAAUAGGUCAUUGUUACGGACAUAUCCAAAGGGAACAUAAAAUAUUUGCUUGGAACCUAGAGGAAAAGUCAAAGCUAUACAUGGAGAAUGAGUUUCACCCACAUAAGUGUGCUAACAUUGAAUCUCUGGCCUUUAAUGGUAUUAUUUAGAAUGAGAACAUGGAAAAUAUGGGCUGAGGAUUGGAUCUUAGCCUAGGAAAUAAAAACAUUUAAUGGACAUAAAAAAGAGGAGAAAUAAUUUAGGGAGUUAAGAAUUAGGAAGAAAACCAAGAGUAGUGGUAUUAUUUAAGCAAGAUGUUGAUAUGCUUUCUAGAUGAAGCAGCUAGUUGUAUAUACUGAGGAAUAUCAUUGAAUAUAACAUUCAGGAAGGCAAUGGUGAUUUUAGCGGAAUGCAGUUUUAAGUAAACUUGUGAAGGGGAAAGUCAAAUUGUACCAGUGG